UAUAAGGGAUUUUGAGUUUUUGCUUGUAACAUUUGACCACUCGUCUUAUUCAAAAUUUUUUAAAAUUAUUAUUUAUUUUAUUUGUGACUUAAUUUAUUAUCUACAGUAUUUUAAGCACAACUUUUUAUUUUUAAUAUUUGCAAAAAAAAAUUGAAUAAGACGAGUGGUUAAACGUUGUAAGCAAAAACUUAAAAUCUCUUAUA
rfam:Oryza sativa Japonica Group DNA, chromosome 12, cultivar: Nipponbare, complete sequence.